UAUUCACUUGUGCUCACAGUUCUUCCCGCCGUCUAUUUGACAAAGCUAGUUGUUUUAAUAACUUAGGAUGCGAUAGGUCGGUAUUUAAGCAAGAAGUAGAAAGAUUUAACUACUUGCUGAAACUAUCGUUUUCAGGUUGACAAGAAUGGUGGAGCAGACGGAACAGCCAUCAAAGUCGCCAACACCUUCAAAUGGCAGCGUCGAGACGAUAGAGCUAAACAAAAGUAACGAAGUAUCGAGAGUAUUCGUACAUCAACUGAACCUGAGCUCCGCAGAUGUUCUUCACCGCCAGAGGGACAGCGAAAUGGUCGCACAGGAAAUGUC